ACCCUCAUCCCUCCCGUGGGAGCCCCCUUUGGACACUCUAUGACCCUGGACCCUCGGGGGACCUGAACUUGAUGCGAUGGGAGGCUGUGCAGGCUCGCGGCGGCGCUUUUCGGAUUCCGAGGGGGAGGAGACCGUCCCGGAGCCCCGGCUCCCUCUGUUGGACCAUCAGGGCGCGCAUUGGAAGAACGCGGUGGGCUUCUGGCUGCUGGGCCUUUGCAACAACUUCUCUUAUGUGGUGAUGCUGAGUGCUGCCCACGACAUCCUUAGCCACAAGAGGACAUCGGGAAACCAGAGCCAUGUGGACCCAGGCCCAACGCCGAUGCCCCACAACAGCUCAUCACGAUUUGACUGCAACUCUGUCUCUACGGCUGCUGUGCUCCUGGCGGACAUCCUCCCCACACUCGUCAUCAAAUUGUUGGCUCCUCUUGGCCUUCACCUGCUGCCCUACAGCCCCCGGGUUCUCGUCAGUGGGAUUUGUGCUGCUGGAAGCUUCGUCCUGGUUGCCUUUUCUCAUUCUGUGGGGACCAGCCUGUGUGGUGAGUGUGUGGUUCUGUGUCAGAUGGGGAGCCCCGAGGAACCGCAUCAGAGCAUUUGUGGGAAGAGUCUCCCCAGCCUCCCAGAGGAAAGGGAUUCAUUCUGUCACCCUUAGAAGCCUGCUAGGGCUAUCAGCAGUAGGAGAUGGGAGACUGGGACAAUUUGGAGGGGAAGGCAGUGGAGGAGAUGGGAGAAAAUGGAUGAAUUAGAUGGAGAUUGAGGUGAACAAAGUCAAGACUCUGUGAUGGACCAGGCACAGUGACUCAUGCCUAUAAUCCCAGCACUUUGGAAAGCCAAGGCAGGCAGAUCACCUGAGGUCAGGAGUUCGAAACCAGCCUGGCCAACAUGGAGAAACCCCGUCUCUACCAAAAAUACAAAAAUUAGCUGGGUGUGGUGGCAGGAGCCUGUAAUCCCAGCUACUCGGGAGGCUGAGGCAGGAGAAUCUCUUGAACCUGGGAGGCAGAGGUUGCAGUGAGCCGAGAUCACGCCACUGUACUCCAGCCUGGGUGACAGGGCGAGACUCCGUCUCCAAAAAGAAAAGAAAAGAAAAAGACUGAUGAAGGGGCAGAGACAUCAAGGGUGCAUGUCUGCCCCUGGUCUGAUAACUGGGUGGAUGGAGGUGCCACUCUCCAUGAAGGGACACGCAAGGGAGUGGGGCUCUGCUUCAGACCUGGAACCUGGCCUAUGCAUGGGAUCUAUUGGAGCCUCUAUGAGCUGAUACUGAGGAGGCCAUGGCCAGACACAUUAGAGGCCUGGGCAGUGUGGCAAGGUGAGGUGUGACCAUCCCAGUGCUUGUCCUCCCCCCAGGUGUGGUCUUCGCUAGCAUCUCAUCAGGCCUUGGGGAGGUCACCUUCCUCUCCCUCACUGCCUUCUACCCCAGGUAAGCAGGUGGAGCAGGGAGUGUGGGGAGAGGCUGUCCCAUGGUCAGCCUAGGUCCUCCUGAAUGUUCCUGUGUUCUCCUUCCCAGGGCCGUGAUCUCCUGGUGGUCCUCAGGGACUGGGGGAGCUGGGCUGCUGGGGGCCCUGUCCUACCUGGGCCUCACCCAGGCCGGCCUCUCCCCUCAGCAGACCCUGCUGUCCAUGCUGGGUAUCCCUGCCCUGCUGCUGGCCAGCUAUUUCUUGUUGCUCACAUCUCCUGAGGCCCAGGACCCUGGAGGGGAAGAAGAGGCAGAGAGCGCAGCCCGGCAGCCCCUCAUAAGAACCGAGGCCCCGGAGUCGAAGCCAGGCUCCAGCUCCAGCCUCUCCCUUCGGGAAAGGUGGACAGUGUUCAAGGUUCGGAUGAUGGCUGGGGUAUGUCCCUGUGGGGCUUGCUCACCUCCAGGCCCCCCGCUUAUAUCUUCUGCCUUUUCCAGGGUCUGCUGUGGUACAUUGUUCCCUUGGUCGUAGUUUACUUUGCCGAGUAUUUCAUUAACCAGGGACUUUUUGAACUCCUCUUUUUCCGGAACACUUCCCUGAGUCACGCUCAGCAAUACCGCUGGUACCAGAUGCUGUACCAGGCUGGCGUCUUUGCCUCCCGCUCUUCUCUCCGCUGCUGUCGCAUCCGUUUCACCUGGGCCCUGGCCCUGCUGCAGGCUGGAAUGUAGCGGUGCAAUCUUGGCUCACUGCAACCCCUGCCUCCCAGAUUCAAGCGAUUCUCAAGCCUCAGCCUUCCGAGUAGCUGGGAUUACAG
rnacentral:sRNA from 1 species